GAGGAGAGACAGAGAGGAAGAUCUUCCAUCCAACGGUUCACUCCUCAAGCUUCUGCAACAGCUGGAGGAUGCUUCCAGAGUUCUCCAUGUGUUUCCAAGAAGAGCGAAAAAUGUACACGUCUCUGGUGUAGCCCUGUAGCCCACCACAUACUUCCAAGACAUGCUUUCAAAC